ACGGUCCAGACUCCUACGGGAGGCAGCAGUGGGGAAUAUUGCACAAUGGGCGCAAGCCUGAUGCAGCCAUGCCGCGUGUGUGAAGAAGGCCUUCGGGUUGUAAAGCACUUUCAGUCGUGAGGAAGGCGGCGUCGUUAAUAGCGGCGUUGUUUGACGUUAGCGACAGAAGAAGCACCGGCUAACUCCGUGCCAGCAGCCGCGGUAAUACGGAGGGUGCGAGCGUUAAUCGGAAUUACUGGGCGUAAAGCGCAUGCAGGUGGUUUGUUAAGUCAG
rnacentral:rRNA from 1 species